rnacentral:lncRNA from 1 species
UGUUGCUUUCCCAUUCGUCCAUCAACUCCACUAAGUUGAUUCCAUAGCAACCAACUAGGAGGCAACACUUGGCUUUGUAGGAGCCCUCCAGCUGGCAAGUGAGCUGCACAAAAUGAGAGAAAAAAAUGUGCCCCUAAUGGGGGUCUACAAAUAUGCCCCUCUUCGGUAGAGUUCACGAGUGUAAAGAAGAUGAACACUGAAGUGAAAGGUAAGUGUGAAUAGUGAGUGGAAUGAAGUGAACUCUACCGAAGAACCAAGGAGACCCCCAUAGGGACACUAGUGAAACGCAAACUCACUCAAGCUAACAAACGAAAACAAAGGCUCUAAUCCUAAAAGAGAAGGAUGCGUCAAAAUGCCUCUGAAGCCACACUAAGGAUCCAAGCUCCCUCUAAAACGUCUCCAAAAGUGACUCGAAGAUUGAUGUCAAAGAUGAGUAACGGUCGAACCACCCUGGAGUACGAACAAAAAUGCGUCUAAAGGAGACUGCCCUAUGUGGACUACAAGAUGAAUAGGCGAUAAGCACAGGGUAACGAGGUGAGGAGAGUGAGAAUAAGUGCAAAUCCAUGAAGGUGAGACAUGCAAUGCCAGAGAAUAUGAACGCUAGGAGCUGUGACUCUGCAUGACAAGACUGACUCUAAACGCUAAACUAGAAAAUAAGAAAAUAAA